CCGCGAGGACCUCAGCCCGCGAAGGCUGCAAGCUGCGGGCGUGUAAGGUGUGCGGGGGCCUGUGCGAGGUGGGAGUCCCGCGCCGGAAGUGGAGAGGUGCGACCGAGGGGCCUCGAGGCGGAGAGGAAAUAGGGGGGCUGCGGUUCCGGGCGACCCCGUCCUCGCCGCGGCCGCGGAGGAGGGCGUCCCCCAGGUGGCGGGGCCGGGGCGGGGCGCCGCGGCUGGGGCGGGGGCGGGGCCGGGGCGGCGGGACCCCGCCUUCCGCGCUCCUUCGGCCGCCCGCGGCCGGCGCGCCCAGAAGCUCGUCGGCUCCCGCCGAGGUCGCUGCGCCAUGGCUCUGGGGCCCUCCCUGACCCCCCACGAGGGCGCCCUGUCUGCGGCGUGACGGGCGGCCCAGACGGUCGCCAUGGGCCAGUGCUACUACAACGAGACUAUCCGCUUCUUCUACAACAACAGUGGCAAGGAGCUCACUUCUUACUGGCGGCCCAAGGAUGUGGUUGUGGUGGCACUGGGGCUGACGGUCAGCGUGCUGGUGCUGCUGACCAACUUGCUGAUCAUUAUGGCCAUUGCCUCCAACCGCCGCUUCCACCAGCCCAUUUACUACCUGCUGGCCAACCUGGCUGCAGCCGACUUCUUCGCUGGUGUGGCCUACCUCUUCCUUAUGUUCCACACUGGCCCGCGCACAGCCCGGCUCUCAGUCAAGACCUGGUUCCUGCGUCAGGGCCUGCUAGACACGAGCCUGACAGCGUCGGUGGCCACGCUGUUGGCCAUCGCCGUGGAGCGGCACCGCAGCGUGAUGACCGUGCAGCUGCAUAGCCGCCUGCCCCGUGGUCGUGUCAUCAUACUCAUUGUGGGCGUGUGGGUGCCUGCACUGGCCCUGGGGCUGCUGCCUUCCCACGUCUGGAACUGCCUCUGUGCCCUGGACCGCUGCUCACGCAUGGCCCCCCUGCUCAGCCGCUCCUACCUAACCGCCUGGGCUCUGUCCAGCCUGCUUGUCUUCCUGCUCAUGGUGGCCGUCUACACCCACAUUUUCUUCUAUGUGCGGCAGCGUGUGCAGGGCAUGGCGGAGUAUGUUACCAGCUACCCCCGAUACCGCGACACCACACUCAACCUGGUCAAGACCGUUGUCAUCAUCCUGGGGGCAUUCGUGGUCUGCUGGACUCCAGGCCAGGUGGUGCUGCUUCUAGAUGGUCUGGGCUGCAAGUCCUGCAACGUCCUGGCUGUGGAGAAGUACUUCCUGCUCUUGGCCGAGGCCAACUCACUGGUCAAUGCGGUGGUGUACUCGUGCCGGGAUGCUGAGAUGCGUCGCACCUUCCGCCGCCUCCUGUGCUGUCUAUGCCUCCGCCGGCCCUCCCACGAGUCUGCCCACUGUGCACCCUCCGCCCAGACAGGCACCAGCACUCGCAUUAUGCUUCCGGAGAAUGGCCACCCCCUGAGAGACUCCACUCUUUAGCCAACCUCAGACUUCAGCAGGGGUGUGGCAAGAGCCGUAACACAGCCCCUCGCCACAGGUGGAUGCGCCCGGCUCUACCCAGUCUGUAGGCUUAAAGGCAGACCCUCAGUCUGGGGUAGCAUGUCACUACUGCCAGCCCUCCCCAGGCACACAACUCUGCCUGCCCCCAGGCCUGGGGGCUUGGGGUCAUCUCCAAGUGCCUGGAAGAGUCAGGUGGGGUUUGGGAAUCUGCUCUCUCUUCAGUCAUCUCAGGUUAUGGGGUUUUUUUAAUGGACAUUUUUUCUGUUUUUACUGCACAACCCUGGUAGACCUCAUGGGCUGCUUCACGGCAGUGUGGACGUUAAAGAUGGGAGAGAGGAGGGCAUACACGCUGCCAGUGUGACAGGGUAACAAAGAUGGACCGUGGACGUACCAUUUGCCUGAGGCGGAUUCUUCAGGGGCACAGAUUAAUGGGUGCCGUGUGCAAGCUGGGAAAGGUGUGUCAUCCCAUUGCCCACCCCACCACCUGUAUACCCGCCUGCCGCCCAGGGUCGUGGGGUCUAUGGAGCAGGAUGCGGAUUUGAGAGUUGCUGUUUCUCAGGCUCCUGCAACGUGCCUGGUACACCGAUCCUUCUCUGAAGUCGUGAGUGCUAAUGGCCAGAAACAAAGACCUGUGAAGAUUCGCCCAGACUUGGGGUGCACCGCGGGCUGGGCCCUGGGGAAGCAUCCUGUGUUCCUUCAGUAGCCAGGCGCUGGCAUUUUCUGCACCGGCAAUGCGGUUAGAGCAAGCAGACUGCACAGAUAGUGGAGGGACAUGGGGACUUUGGAAUGCACUUAGUUGAGACCCAGCCCAAAUCAGCUGGAGACGUCCUGUGUGAGGGAUACCAGUCUCCUUGAAUGAUCUUCUGACCUUCUCCGGCUAUACCCCGAGGUCUUCCUGGAAGAAGGGACAGUUUUUCCGUCUUCUUGAUAUGGACCUUUCACUGAUCACAUGCUCGUUCAUUUCUUGUAUGGGACCAGUAAGGCAAAAAUGUUAUCUCGUUCGCCAAGGAUUAUCUGAGCAUUUUGCGCUGCAUGCAUAACCUUAUUUUUUUUAAAUAAUAAUAUGUUUCACAGUUGACAUAUGUUAUUUCAUUUGCUUCUUUUGACUACUUUUAUGAGGGGUUUAUAAGGAUCACCAGACUAGUGUUGAGGGCUCCUUUGUCAAGGCCAUCAGGCCUCAAAGUUCUUGCCUCCUCCCAGGGUCCUCAGCCAGUGUUUGAGUCAGGGGCCCCUGUUGCAAGCUCCUCCUCCCCCUGCCCCCACAAAAAAUGUGGUGUGCUUGUGUGCCACGCCCCCAGGGAUCCUGAAGCCUCAGGUGCCCUGGAGUCUGGAAGCUGCCUCUCAUCAAAGGUUCAUGGACUUACUUUUUGUCUAGUAGUGAGAUUUCCUAAGAAGUCAGUAUGAAAACUCUAGAACCGGAAAUGUCAGAGUAGAAAGUUUUAGAAACCUGAUUGAAAAAGAAGCAGCAGAAUGGCCCACAGAGUCAUCCUGGAGACCCAGACUCCACACCUGAUACUCUGGGAGAGGCAGCUGAAGAGGACUGGCCCUUCUUCGAGUCAUUGUGUACCCCGCAGCGACAGGCGGGUUAUGUGGCAGGACUGGCAGACUUUGGCCGCAGUGGCCCUUUCCUCACCCUUUGCCUGCAAGUGUACACUUGUAGCCUAGACGGCUAUACCAUCCAACGUGGUAGCCAUUCACCAUGUGUCUUUUCAAGUUAAAAUGAAAUAUAAUUAAAUGUUCAGUUCCUCAGUUGCCCUAGCUACAUUUCGAGUGCUCAGUAUCCACAUGUGGCUAGUGGCUGCCACAUUAGUACAGACAGAGAACAUUUCCAUCAUUGCAGAAAAUACUGGACAGUGGCGCUCGCUAGCAGGGGCCAUGCAGCAGAUCUCUGUGGAAUCUUAUUGCAAUGCAAGUUCUGAUAUACCACAUAGCAAGGUCUUGGUGGGGCCCAGGGGUCCUCAUUUCUAACAAGCUCCCAAGGGUGACAAUGCUGGUGAUCCCAGACCACACUCGGAAAGGUCAUGCUCUCAAGAGUGGAGAUGAUAGUGUCCUGUUUAUUUCAGUUUUCAUAAAUCAGUUUUCCAAGUAGAUGGUUAGUCUGACAAUUGGAAGUUAUUUUUGAGCCAAGGUUGUGUUUGUAGCCAUAAUGGAUUUUAAAUUAGUCAUAAGGGUUACAUAUUAGCAUUGCUUGCCUGUUUAAUAUAGAAAUAAAACUAGAAAUGAAUAAAAUUCAGAGUAGUUGUUUUUUUUGUUUUUUUUUUACUCUAAAUGAAAUUCUUGGCCUGUUUCAGAG